UGCAGUAGUUUCAGUGUUUGGCUCAUGUC
rnacentral:piRNA from 1 species